GUCCACGCCGUAAACGAUGGGUGCUAGGUGUGGGCGGUGUCGACUCCGUCCGUGCCGAAGCUAACGCAUUAAGCACCCCGCCUGGGGAGUACGGCCGCAAGGCUAAAACUCAAAGGAAUUGACGGGGGCCCGCACAAGCAGCGGAGCAUGUGGUUCAAUUCGACGCAACGCGAAGAACCUUACCGAGACUUGACAUGCACUGGAAUGUCGUAGAAAUACGCCAGCCCUUCGGGGCUAGUGCACAGGUGGUGCAUGGCUGUCGU
rnacentral:rRNA from 1 species